rnacentral:rRNA from 2 species
UGAACCUAUGGAAGGAUCAUUG